rnacentral:tRNA from 1 species
CUCCUUGUGGUGUAGUUGGCUAUCACGUCGGGCUGUAAUUGAUAAAUCACAUUACCUGAAGGUCACCAGUUCAAUUCUGGUCGGGGAGA